rnacentral:rRNA from 1 species
UUUAUUAAAAUCAUAAAGUAGAAUUUAGAUUUUGAAGAAGAAUUAUUGGCGGCUAAGCAUAAAAUUUAUUUUUGGGACCAGGAUUAGAUACCCUGUUACUUUUAAUAAGGUAGUUUUGGAAUAAUAGUAUUAAUGAAAUUUAACGGAUUUGGCGGCAAGAUAGCCCCUUAGAGGAACCUGCCCUGUGAACGAUGAACCACGAAGAGACAUUACUUUUUUUUGAAACCAGUUUGUAUAUCGCUGUUGUCAGUUAGAUUCUAGAGAAUAUUUUCAUUUAUGAAAAGGUCAUUGACUUCAAGUAAAGGUGCAGCUUAUAGAAAAGAAAGAGGUGGGUUACAUUUAAAAGAAUAAAACGAAUAAGGUGAAUGAAAGAACCUUUGAAGGUGGAUUUAACUGUAAAAUUUAAGAAAGUUUGGUGAGAGCUCUAUCUUGUGUACACACCGCCCGUCGCUCUCUUUUUUAAAAC